rnacentral:rRNA from 1 species
UAGGGAAUCUUCGGCAAUGGGGGCAACCCUGACCGAGCAACGCCGCGUGAGUGAAGAAGGUUUUCGGAUCGUAAAGCUCUGUUGUAAGAGAAGAACGUGUGUGAGAGUGGAAAGUUCACACAGUGACGGUAACUUACCAGAAAGGGACGGCUAACUACGUGCCAGG